rnacentral:rRNA from 1 species
UGCGCCUACGGGACGCAGCAGUGAGGAAUAUUGGUCAAUGGACGAGAGUCUGAACCAGCCAAGUAGCGUGAAGGAUGACUGCCCUAUGGGUUGUAAACUUCUUUUAUAUGGGAAUAAAAUGUUCCACGUGUGGGAUUUUGUAUGUACCAUAUGAAUAAGGAUCGGCUAACUCCGUGCCAGCAGCCGCGGUAAUACGGAGGAUCCGAGCGUUAUCCGGAUUUAUUGGGUUUAAAGGGAGCGUAGGUGGAUUGUUAAGUCAGCGGUAAAAUGUCCGGGCUCAACCCGGGCCGGCCGUUGAAACUGGG